GGUUCAUUGGGCCUAGCCGCCCCACAAAGCCCACGAAGAAAUUUACACGAGAGAAAAGGGCGAGCGACUACUCUCGAGAAACCUAGGUACGCCGCCGCCGCCACCGUCCACGCUACCCCUCCCGUCACGCGCCCUCACGCCACCUCGCCGCCGUCCUCCGCCCCUCCUAUCCUCUCUCCCAAAGCCACCGACCUCGUCUCCCACCCUCUCCUCCUACCUCAUCAGAAGAGAAGAGAAGAGAAGAGGGAGACCGACCAGGUCAGGCACCGACCAUGGCGGCGGCCAGAUACGCCACGGCCGCAACCACCUCGCCAAGGAUCAGGAUCUUGGCCACCAUGGAGAUCGCGACCAACGACCAGUCCGUCCUGCGUCACCUUCACCGACGCCGUGGCUCAUCGGCGACGUGACCAUGAACCAGGCCGCCACGAACCCCGUCGGCACUAUCUUCGGUGAGAACUGCCAACUGACUGUCACCUGCUAAUUUCCCCUUUGUUUGUUUUGUUUAGGGGCAGUCUUUAUUUUGCAUGGUAAGGGCAGUCCUUCUGUUUGUUAAUCAAGUUUCUCAGGUUCAUGGGUUUGUGUCACGGCGUUUUGUGCUUGUGUUGCAUAUAUAUUUAACAGUAGUAUCGACAAUGUAGACAUGCCCAAAGCCUUGCAUCCUUGCCAUCUCAUUCUUCAGUUGUCAAAUGCUCAGUCAGCUAUUCAGAUCCCUGCAUCUUUUUUUCAAGUUUUUCCCCAUAUUGAUCUAUGUAUUAUGGUGAAUCCUUCAAUCCAAGAUGCCAUAAGACGAUAUAGAAGUUUGGGAUUAAUUCUUGGCUGAAACAUAUAAAAAAUACAAAUAUGUACAAGUUGUUGGAUGGAGGGUUGGCCCAGAAUUCUGCUAGCAGUCAGCACAGGAGAACCAGGACAGUGGCGGUGGAGCCUCCAGCGUAAGGGCACCGCUGUCGUCGUUCCCGCUCCAUAGACCACCAACUGGAUUCACCGCUGCCUGGAUGAAAGCAAGGAACCCAUCUAGAUUCGUCCGAUGUGUUCAAGAAAUCAACAGUGUUGUCAUACAUGACAGGCUGAUUAACAGGAUACAAUCGGCCAUUAAUGAUGGACGAUUGAACUUUUCUGAGAUGCAAGUUGAUAAACAGCCUUUUCCAAUGAAUACCAUGGAUUUGGAGGGGAAGAAGCUACUCAUUCGGCCAGAGGCAGCCGAAUCUGUUAAUAAAGCUAAUGCCAUUGUUGGUGAGCCCAGGAAAGACAAGGAGGACAACAAGGUCUUGGGGAGAUAGGUUGUGCUUGAUAAGCAACCCGAUGGCAAGGAAGUGAUCAAAAUCACCAUCAAGAAUCCUACACUCGGGGGGCAACCGCAAGUGCAAGAAAAUACUCAUGUUAAAUUUGUCAAACCUAAGAGUCCAGAAGUUGGCAGGUGGAAAAGGAAUGAAGCUAAAGUACAGCGCAAGCGGAUCAAGCUGACUUUUGAUAUGUUGCUGUUCAAGUACGCCAACCAGUCGGCCGAUUCUAGCUUUAAUCGGCCGACUCAUCUGAAGCGACCAAGGUCACCAUCAGCUGAUAUGUUCAGUCAGUAUAUGAAAUCGAGUGGACCAAGGGUGCCAUUUCCAGAAGAGCAUACGCAAUCUGUUUGGGAUCAACUUGACUAUUCAUAUAGGGGCUGACUAAACAUUGGUGACUAUCAGUCGGCUGGUCAAAUUA